ensembl:snRNA U6 U6 spliceosomal RNA
GUGUUUGCUUUGGCAAUACAUGUAAUGAAACUGGAAUGAUACAGAGAGGAUUAGAGUGGCCCCUGCAUAAGGAUGACAUGAAAACUCUUGAAGAGUUUGAUGUUUUU